rnacentral:rRNA from 1 species
GUGGGGAAUAUUGGACAAUGGGCGAAAGCCUGAUCCAGCCAUGCCGCGUGUGUGAAGAAGGUCUUCGGAUUGUAAAGCACUUUAAGUUGGGAGGAAGGGCAGUAAGUUAAUACCUUGCUGUUUUGACGUUACCGACAGAAUAAGCACCGGCUAACUUCGUGCCAGCAGCCGCGGUAAUACGAAGGGUGCAAGCGUUAUUCGGAAUUACUGGGCGUAAAGCGCGCGUAGGUGGUUUUGUAAGUUGGAGGUGAAAUCCCCGUGCUCAAUCUGGGAACUGCCUCCAAAACUGCAUGACUAGAGUACGGUAGAGGGUAGUGGAAUUUCCUGUGUAGCGGUGAAAUGCGUAGAUAUAGGAAGGAACACCAGUGGCGAAGGCGACUACCUGGACUGAUACUGACACUGAGGUGCGAAAGCGUGGGGAGCAAACAGGAUUAGAAACCCGGGUAGUCC